rnacentral:misc_RNA from 1 species
UAGAGUGUUAAAACUCCCUAAACCCGUGUGAACAAUACCUUUUGUUGCUUCGGCGAGUCGUCCCGGGCGCCGCUGCGUGCCCCGGAUCCAGGCGCUCGCCGGAGGACUCCAACUCUUGUCUUGCAAGUGGUAUCUCUGAGUGUACCAAACAAAUAAAUCA